AGUGGCAGACGGGUGAGUAACAUGUGGGUAUCUACCCUUUGGUCUGGAAUAACACGAGGAAACUUGUGCUAAUACCGGAUAAGUCUUUACGGAGAAAGCUUUAUGCACCAUUGGAUGAGCCCGCACUUGAUUAGUUUGUUGGUAGGGUAAUGGCCUACCAAGACUAUGAUCAAUAGCUGAUUUGAGAGGAUGAUCAGCCACAUUGGGACUGAGACACGGCCCAAACUCCUACGGGAGGCAGCAGUGGGGAAUCUUGCACAAUGGAGGAAACUCUGAUGCAGCGAUGCCGCGUGAGUGAAGAAGGCCUUUGGGUUGUAAAGCUCUUUCGUCGGGGAAGAAAAUGACUGUACCCGAAUAAGAAGGUCCGGCUAACUUCGUGCCAGCAGCCGCGGUAAUACGAAGGGACCUAGCGUAGUUCGGAAUUACUGGGCUUAAAGAGUUCGUAGGUGGUUGAAAAAGUUGGUGGUGAAAUCCCAGAGCUUAACUCUGGAACUGCCAUCAAAACUUUUCAGCUAGAGUAUGAUAGAGGAAAGCAGAAUUUCUAGUGUAGAGGUGAAAUUCGUAGAUAUUAGAAGGAAUACCAAUUGCGAAGGCAGCUUUCUGGAUCAUUACUGACACUGAGGAACGAAAGCAUGGGUAGCGAAGAGGAUUAGAUACCCUCGUAGUCCAUGCCGA
rnacentral:rRNA from 1 species